rnacentral:rRNA from 1 species
ACUGAAUAGAUACCCCGGUAGUCCACGCCGUAAACGAUGAGCACUAGUUAUUGGGGGUAUUGACUCCCUCAGUGACGCAGCUAACGCAUUAAGUGCUCCGCCUGGGGAGUACGGUCGCAAGACUAAAACUCAAACAAAUUGACGGGGGCCCGCACAAGCGGUGGAUUAUGUGGUUUAAUUCGAAGCAACGCGCAGAACCUUACCUAGGCUUGAACUCCUACGAACCUCUUGUAAUGGAGAGGGUGUCCGCAAGGAAAUGUAGUGAGAGGUGCUGCAUGGCUGUCGUCAGCUCGUGUUGUGAAAUGUUGGGUUAAGUCUCGCAACGAGCGCAACCCCUAUCGUCUGUUGCCAGCAUUAAGUUGGGCACUCUGACGAGACUGCCUGGGUUAACCAGGAGGAAGGUGGGGAUGACGUCAAGUCCUCAUGGCCCUUAUGUCUAGGGCUACACACGUAAUACAAUGGCGCGUACAGAGGGAAGCGAACUAGCAAUAGGGAGCAAAUCUCAAAAAGCGCGCCUCAGUUCGGAUUGGA